UGAGGAAUAUUGCACAAUGGGCGCAAGCCUGAUGCAGCAACGCCGCGUGAGGGACGAAGGCCUUCGGGUCGUAAACCUCUUUUCUGAGGGACGAGAAAGGACGGUACCUCAGGAAUAAGUCUCGGCUAACUACGUGCCAGCAGCCGCGGUAACACGUAGGAGGCAAACGUUAUCCGGAAUUACUGGGCGUAAAGCGCACGUAGGCGGCAUCGUAAGUCCGACGUGAAAGCUCCUGGCUUAACUGGGAGAGGCCGUUGGAUACUGCGAAGCUCGAGGUUGGGAGAGGAGAGUGGAAUUCCCGGUGUAGUGGUGGAAUGCGUAGAUAUCGGGAGGAACUCCAGUGGCGAAAGCGACUCUCUGGCCUACACCUGACGCUAAAGUGCGAAAGCGUGGGGAGCGAACAGG
rnacentral:rRNA from 1 species